rnacentral:lncRNA from 1 species
AUAAAUAAAUUGAAAAUUCUCGUUUUUACUUUUUAUUGGGCAUAAGUUAAAAAUCUUACUCUCUAUUUAUUAUGCUUUAACAAGAGAAAGAAAGAAAACAGAAAACAAAUCUCUUCUAUAGCAGACUUAACAAAAAUUUCAGCUGAGACUUAAACCGACUUUUUCAAGGAAAUGAAAUUAGGAGAACAAAAACACUUUGAAGUGGACUGCAUAUAUAUACUCAAAAAUAACAUACAACUUGAGUCAGUAAUGGUAAAGAAAACGAACGUACACAGACGGGUUUGGAUUUAGAUGAUGAAGAAUGCACUGAAAGCUUUGCAUUUGAGUUCUCUUUUUCGGGUGAGUAAGUUAGGGAACUGCAAGGCCGAUCAAUUUGAAAAAAGAAAAAAGAAAAAAACUAAAAUGUAAACGCAGCUUGAACUUGAUUUCUUUUGGUUUUUGGGGAGGGGACGGGGGGAGGGGAGGGAAUGUAUACGCAGCUUCAAACUUGGUUUCUUUUCGUUUUUUUCCCCGGGGGUGUGGAGGCCUGGAGGGAAUGUAAACGAACUAACGAAGCCUCAAUCCUCAUGCAGCUGUAUUUAUAUGAAGUGGGUACUGCUGACUGAUCCACGAAGGAAGACUUUUGAUGUCAUUGGUGUUUCUUUAUUUUUGACCUUUUAGCUAGAUGACAGAAGAAUGCCGAGUGCUACGGACACUCGCGAGUGUCUCAAUCGCGGCUCUCUAUAUAGACACGUGUCUAUCAAAAUGAAACCUUAUCAGAGAGACAGCCGCAAGUAUGACGAGACAAGCGCGAUCGUAAGGAUGGAAGCCGCAAGUAUGAAGAGACAGGCCCAAUCCACAACGAUCCAAGAGCAAUCAUUACCUGCAAACUCAACACAACACCUAAUUAACUUCAAACCCCACCAUAAAUCCACCAACAGUCACUAUUCGAAACAAAUCUACCUCAAAUGCGACGUCAAAUAAAAGGAAUAAAAAGGUUUCCUUAAAAGAGAGAGAGCUGCGAGUAUGAAGAGACAAGCACGGUCCACAACGAUCGAAGGCUGUGUGGUAUGUGUCUUGUAUAGAUUGAACAGAGCAAUCAUUACCUGCAAAACUGAACCAAACACUCAAUUAACAAACAAAUUUCAAUUUGAAACCCGACCUUAAAUCCACCAUUGGGCACUAUUCGACACAAAUCUACUUGAAAUCCGACAACAAAUAAAAGGAAAAAAAAUUCUAAAUCAACAUCGAAAUGAAACCUUUAUAAGAGAGAAAGCCGCAAGUACGAAGAGAUCUGAAGUCCUGUUGGUAUAUGUCUUGUAUAGAUUGACAGAGCAAUCAAAGGCCGUGUCGACCAGAGCAAUCGCAGAAUAGAAGAGAUAAGAGAGGAAAAAAGAAGGAAGAGGAGAGCUGCAGCAGCAAAUGAUCAGAGCAAUCAUUACCUGCAAAACUCAACACAACACCAAAUUAACAACCAACAUUUCAAUUUCAAACUUAACCUUAAAUUGAAACAAAUCUACUUGAAAAUAAAAGAAUAAGCAACUCCGAAUCAAAAUCGAAAUGAAACCUUUUAUAACAGAGACAGCCGCGAGUAUGAAGAGACAGGCACAAUCUGCAGCGAUCGAAGAGAAAUCACCACUACCUGCAAAACUCAACACAACGCCUGAUUAACAACAAACAUGCCAAUUUCAAACCCACCUUAAAUCCACCAACAGACACUAUAACUUGAAAUGCAAUAUCAAAUAAAAGGAACAAGUAGUCUAAAUCAAAAUCAAAACGAAACCUUAUAAAAGAGACAGCCGCAAGUCUGAAGAGACCAGCACGAUCCUAAAGGAUCAAAGCCGCAAGUAUGAACAGACCUGAUUAACAACAAACACCUGAUUACCUGCAAAACUCAACACAACACCUGAUUAUCAACAAACAUUUCAAUUUCAAACCCAAAACAAAUCUACUUGAAAAAAAAAAAAAAACAACUCCAAAUCAAAAUCGAAAUGAAACCUUAUUAGAAAGACAGCCGCAAGUAUGACGAGACAAGCACGAUCGUAAAGGAUGGGAGCCGCAAGUAUGAAGAGACAGGCCCAAUCCACAACGAUCCAAGAGCAAUCAUUACCUGCAAACUCAACACAACACCUAAUUAACUUCAAACCCCACCAUAAAUCCACCAACAGUCACUAUUUGAAACAAAUCUACCUCAAAUGCGACAUCAAAUAAAAGGAAUAAAAAGGUUUCCUUAAAAAAGAGUCCACAACGAUCGAAGGCUGUGUUGUAUGUGUCUUGUAUAGAUUGAACAGAGCAAUCAUUACCUGCAAAACUGAACCAAACACUCAAUUAACAAACAAAUUUCAAUUUGAAACCCGACCUUAAAUCCACCAUCGGGAACUAUUCGACACAAAUCUACUUGAAAUCCGACAACAAAUAAAAGGAAAAACAAGUCUAAAUCAACAUCGAAAUGAAACCUUUGUAAGAGAGAAAGCCGCAAGUAUGAAGAGAUCUGAAGUCCUGUUGGUAUAUGUCUUGUAUAGAUUGACAGAGCAAUCAAAGGCCGUGUCGACCAGAGCAAUCGAAGAGUAGAAGAGAUAAGAGAGGAAAAAAGAAGAAGAGGAGAGCUUCAGCAGCAAAUGAUCAGAGCAAUCAUUACCUGCAAAACUCAACACAACACCAAAUUAACAACCAACAUUUCAAUUUCAAACCCAACCUUAAAUUGAAACAAAUCUACUUGAAAAAUAAAGGAAAAAGCAACUCCAAAUCAAAAUCGAAAUGAAACCUUUUAAAACAGAGACAGCCGCGAGUAUGAAGAGACAGGCACAAUCCGCAGCGAUCGAAGAGAAAUCAUCACUACCUGCAAAACUCAACACAACGCCUGAUUAACAACAAACAUGCCAAUUUCAAACCCAACCUUAAAUCCACCAACAGACAGACACUAUAACUUGAAAUGCAAUAUCAAAUAAAAGGAAAAACAAGUCUAAGUCAACAUCGAAAUGAAACCUUUAUAAGAUAGAAAGCCGCAAGUACGAAGAGAGAAGCGCGAUCCUAAAAGAUCUGAAGUCGUGUUGUAUAUAUGUCUUGUAUAGAUUGACAGAGCAAUCAAAGCCCGUGUCGACCAGAGCGAUCGAAGAGGAGAAGAGAGAAGAGAGAAAAAGAGAAGAGGAGGAGAACUGCAGCAGCAAAUGAGCAAAGGGAGCUCAAUUUAUAAACGACUAAACGAGGGAUUCCGUUUGCUCAUUUGCUGCUGCAGCUCUGGACCGUUGAGGGGGGACACGUGGAGGGAUCGUGGGGAGUGGUGGAAGUAACUGUGGUUGAGUUAAGGUUGACUAGAGUUAUGUGAGGGAUCCAAGGCUGGGUGUUUUCCUUUUGGAUAUGCGUUUUGUCAGUGGGAACGGCAUCGUUUGUUUGGGUUUAAAAUUGAGCACAUUUAUUAUACGUAGCGGAAUCGUACAAAAAUUGCUGCUGCAGUAUAAAUCUGAAGGAAAAAAAAAAAAAUGGUUGGUAUGUGGAAAUUAUACUUGAAACGUUGUCGUUUUUGGCAUAAUUGCUGUGAUAUAUUUAUUUGUUUGUGUUUUUAUUUCUUUUUUCUGGGUUUUAGGGUCACAAUCGGAGAGCGAAGACAAGGUCUCGUUGGAACUCUCUGAAGAAGUUCUUCAGAGCAUGGAAGUGGGCAUUUCUUUUAGAGAUUAUGUAAGAGAAUCUUCUAUUAAGUUUCUGUUUGAGGAACAUACUUGAUUUGCAUUUUAAAUGUAUCUGUUUGUUAAUUCAUUGUCGUUUUGUGUUGAUUCGUGUUUUAACAGAAUGGGAGAAUUAGUUCCUUGGAUUUUCAUAAAUCAUCGAGUUAUUUGAUGAUGGCUAGUGAUGAUGAAUCUAUACGGCUGUACGAUGUCUCUGCUGCCACGUAAGUUGAUCCUCUGUUUCUUAGGAUUUUAUGUUGUCUAUUGGGAAGUGCUUUUAACUAAGAAAUGGCUUUUGAAUAAGUAUAAAAAGCUGGUUUCAAUCUUGCAAUGUUUGUUUGAAAUUGCUGGAAUAAUAAAGUGUCUUUUGAAAUCAAAGGAACCCUUGAAGUGUUUUUCUAGGGAAGUGCUUGAUAUCUGCUUUCAUGGAUAGAACUUUUUGGAUUAGGAAACCACUUGUAGUGCUGUUUGAAGUAGUGCUUCAUAUAUGUUUGAAAGUGAUUUUACUCGAGGGUACUUUCCAUUAAAGCACUGCUGAACGUAUCCUCUGCGUGUUUGAUGAGCUCAUGAAAGCUACUGUCUUUCUAAGAUGGGGAAAAAUGCUUUUUUGAUGAAACAGAAAAAAAAAAAAAAAAAAAAAAAGGAGAACCUUGGAGUGGUUUUCGGGGCAGUGCUUAAGGGAAAUGUAAUUGAUAUAUUUUUCAAGAACUUUUGUAAAAAGGCCUUUUCUUUUUCUUUUUUGUUUUGUUUGCAUAAGCUCUUUCUAUAAGAGCACUGCCAAAUGCACUCCAGUUGUCUUAGCUGAGCUCAUGAUAGUUGGUAUUGCAAUUGUUGCUGAGAGCCUUAAUUGAAAUUUCAGAUGUUUGAAGACAAUUAACAGCAAAAAAUAUGGAAUAUUUGUGUUUUGUAUGUUGGUGAAUUACUUUACUAGGCACUUAUUUGGUACGUUCAUUUAUUCAGAAUCUCUACGGCUUCUUUCCUCGCACUAUAACAAGUACUUGCGUUACUUCAACGGUCAUCAUAACAGGUUUGUAAUUCACUUAUUCUUGUAAAUAUUUCGUAAUUAUUAUUAUCUGUAUAUAUGUUUUACUGCUUCUAGGGUUGUUUCACUUAGUCUGUGCUCCUCCAAAGAUUGCUUUAUCUCUGGUUCUCUUGGUCAAUCUGUUCUGCUCUGGGAUCAACGGGCUGAGAAAUGCUAGGUGGAUAUCAUGCCAUCCACCAUUUUCAAUUGUAUAUAUGAUCUCUGUUGGCAAAUACGGGCCUUUUGCAUGUUCAAGGAAGGCCUGCUACAGCAUAUGAUGAUCAAGGGCUUGUCUUUGCAGUUGCCUUUGGAGGAUACAUAAGAAUGUUUGAUGCUCGUAAGUAGGAGAAGGUUAAAAUUAAUAUUUAAGAACAUCUUGGAAGUUUAUAUGUCGUACUUUUAUCAUGCACUAAUUUGGUUAAAUUUGGAUACAUCUUCUCUGAUGGUGUAGAUGUAUCAGAUUCUGAUGCUGUAAAGUUCAGCAAUGAUAGGAGACUUAUGCUUCCGACCUCUAUGGAAGGACAUAUUCAUGUGCUUGACUCAUUCCAAGGCACACUUGUGAGUUGACUUUUUCUUUCUUCAUCUCCCAAAUGUAACAUAUCGUACAUAUAUACCCCUCUAUACACUGGAAUCUCUGUUAAUGAGCUUUUGUUUACUCUUGUUUUUAUUUAUCCACUUAUGAUGCCAAGCCAGUUUCUCGCAAUUCCACAUUGGAGGCAUCUUUCAGCCCGGUAGAGUUUCUCCUUUGAGUUCUUAGGGCACAGUGACUUGGAUAUUUUGUUAAUAUUUGCUUUUGGCUGUUUUGAUAUUUUAUAUUAAAGUUCUUGCACUUGUGCUGUAUAUAAUUCUCAAAUUUGUUACCACCUUGUUGGUAUAUUGAAAUACACGACUUGAAAUGUUGGGCAUCAAGCUUGUUUCCGCAGAAUUCUUUGAAAUAAAUUCAUUUUCUCUUCUUCAUUGACUUGGUUUGAAACCCACUCCCAUCCAUGCAAAUCCAAAUGCAUACGUAUUUUCAUCUGGUUGUGCUUAUUAAUAAAAAUAAAUCAAUGAAAUGCUCAAAUAGCAAGUGCACCCACACAUGUGGAAGCAGCCUGGUGCGGCCAAGCACCUCUCAUUCGUUUUAUGUGAUACAAUUGGUUUGUUGCACUCUUUGUGCUAAUUUUACUUUCUCGAUUUUGGAAGGUUCUGAUGAUGGUAGUGGAUAUGCUUGGAGUGUAGGGAGCGGGAAAGGGGUAUGAUAAGCAAAAUUCCUUGAUUCUCAUGCCUUUUGAAUGCUUAGAAUUCAAAGGGAUGUUAUUUCCCUUACACUGACCCCAGUCAUAGCAUUCAUUGUCUUCUAGCCAAACCAACAAUGCUUUUGAAUCUACAUUUGAGCAUUUACCUUAAGCACCAGUUUGCAUAAUGAGUUCUGUAUCCAAAGACUAUAUUCUUUGGAUGUUGGUAUUGUUAUUAUAUAAACAUUGUUUGGUUUUGUUUAUUUUUCUUGUCAGGGUUGUUAGUUGGAUGAGUUUUCAUACAGAGCCUCCUGUCAUAAAAUGGGCCCCUGGAAGUCUCAUGUUUGUUACGGGGUAAUCUGAGCUAUCAUUUUGGAAUCCUAAUGUGUCUAAACUAGGAGCUUACGAUGGGAGGAAGUAAAGUUUCUAACACUCAGCACCCUUAAGUAUCUGAAUAUUGAUGUCUAUCUAUUGCUGGGAGGGGAACUUGUUUGUAAGGAGAUGUUCAAUUUCCUAUAGUAGUAUGUAAAUGCAUCUGACUUACCUGCUAGUAACCUUUCCUAACAAGUUCUGAAGAAACAACAGUAGAUCUGGUAUCAGUACUUUAUUCAGAAGAGCAUUUCUUCUUACAUGCACAGCUAAGAGUACAUGAAUUGAGCUACUGAAGCCCUUCCUGACCAACCUGGCUAAGGCUCCUUUCAGUUUGUCCUCUUCAUGGUUCUUUGGCAGGCAACAGCGUAAGCAAUUACCUGGACUAUGAGGCCUUUUGUAGCGGGGUGGGCACUGCCUAGGCAGUUUUUGAAAAAACUAGGAGCUUUAUUUGUCAUUGACAUUUGUAGCACGAUUAGUUAUUACCUGGAUUAAGUUGUAUAUAUUACAUCGUAUACCUAAUCUGACAAAUAACAGGUUGCAAUCCAAGUUUUGUUGAUCAUGAAGGGUUUGAGCAUGAUAGUCCAUUUAGGUCAUUAGGUCUCCCUCGAAUUGCCACGUACACACUUCAAUCCUCUCAACGAGCGUCCCCGCAACGUCACACUCCACAAUAAUCUGAAAUAAUUUAAAACAAUUAUAUACUUCUGGCUGCUCUUAUCUCCCUUCUCACCAACCGAGUCACUGGUUGGUUACAUUUUACUAACACCGCCGAAUGAGAGAUCAUAAUCCCUAUUACGUGUCCACCCUAACUGAUCACAACAUUGUCAUUUUUUAUCUAGCGUUAGCAACGCGUUGUUCAGUUGUCAUAGCUUCGAAACCGCGUUAUUUGUUUAUACACUACAUUUUUGGACUCAAGGCACAAAAGGGAUAAUAAACAAUUGUUAUAAACAAUUGUUAUAUAGUCUGCAAGGUCCAUUCCAAUUGUGUUUGUGUAUAUAUAUUUUAGCUUUCUCUCCUACACCCAGGCUUUAUGCCUCUCGUGCCUCAGUUUGAUGUGAAGAAAUGGUCCAUCAAGGCCAUUGGUUAUAUAGUCAGCAAUAGCAAUAUUGCCUUUCUUCAACCACAGCAAUGUUUAUUGGGUACGCAGGAUCAAUUAUCUUCUUAGUAAUUAACAUAAUAAUAUAUUAUGUUUGUAAAUGUGUAAAUAAAUUUUAUUCAAUAUUUAUAGUUUUACAACAAUUUAAUAUUAAAAUUUACCAAACAUAUACAAUUGUUUUUAUAACUCACAGCUCCUUUAAAAAUAAGUUUUUGCAAACGUUUAAUUAAUUUUUUUAAAUUGAUUAUUUUUAUAGCACAGCUAACAUCAAUUAUUUUAAAAGCUACAGUAUUACCAAAUUGACUCCUUACUCUUUUUAUUAAAAUUAUUAUUUAAAAGUUCUAAUUGCAAUAUGUUACCAACUUUUAUUUCACAUCUAUAAUUUUUUUUUCACAACAGCUAUAACUUAAACGUCGCAUCAUCUUAAUACCAAAUAGGGCUAUAGUUAUUUGGGACCUUUUUUUUUUCCCCCCCUUUUCCCUCUUCUUUAGCAACCUACAAAAAACACUAGAAAUAAAACAGAAAAAUUGAGUAUGAAAUUAAGCAUUAGUUAAGUAUGAAGUUGGGUGAGUCGAGUAUAAAAUUAAGUACUUUUCUAUAUGAUUUUAAAUAAAGGGUUUUUUAAUAUUUUGCUUUGUGAUUUUGGAUAUAUUUCUACAAUACCAGUAAACUAUGUAAUAAGCAUAUAUUUGUUGUUUUGUUGUGAAUGGGACAUAUCUAGCGCCAUUUGCUCUAGGGAUGGCAAUGGGGCAGAUAUGGGUUGGAUCUACUUUGCUCCAAAUUCAAAUCCAUAAUAAAAAUCAAGAUCCGUAUCUACUCCAGAUCUGUCAUGAAUCCAUAUUUUUUGCUCCAUAUCCAGAUCCAAAAAAGAAAUAAAUAUCUAUAUCUACUCCAAAUCUUAAAAAAAAUUAAAAUCCAAAUCUGUUCUACAUCUGUCAUGAAUUCUAAAACUCAGUAAUAAAAAAUUAAUAAUUUUUUAGAAUGAAAAUUGAAGGCUUAAAUGUAUUGAUAAAAAAUAAAUUAUAUAAUUUUUCUCAAAAAUAUAAUAAAUAUUGUAGCUUAUACUUUUAUCUCAAAACAAUAAAUAAGAAAGAUAAUAAAAUAUCAUUCAAAAGUAAUUGUAGAAGUAAGAUCAAUCUAAUAUUCUAUUGUCUCCUUCAUCAUUCUAAUAUCCACGACACACCUACCAUCAUUUCUACAACAUUAAAUAAUGACAUAUAAAUUAAAUAUGAUUUAUAUUCAGUCCUUUAUUAUUUUUAUUAUGAUCAUAUUUGACUAAAUAUAUGAAUAACUAUAUUUUUUAAAAAUUAUUUGGCUUGCAAUUUGAAUAUUUAGGCUUGGCUGACCUUUAUAUUUACAAAACUAACCUUUAAGUUUUAAGAGUUUAAAUGCAUGGUAAAUACCACUAAUAUGUUAUGAAUAAAAUUUAUUAUUAUUAUAAUUCCAUAAUUGUUAAGAAACUUUUAAAAUAAAAUAAAAUUAAAAGAUGAGUGAAUAUGAAUGUGGAUUUAGAUAUUAAGAUAGAUCCAGACCUGCUCCAGAUCCGUCUUAGAUCCGCACAUCGAUAUUCAAAUUCGAUCCAAAUUCAUUUUAAACUGACCCAAAUCCGAUCCGAUUGGAUUUGGAUCACGUGGAUCUUGGGUCAAAUCCAAUCCAUUGCCAUCCCCAAUUUGCUCCCGUGACUGAUCUUUAUAACAGAUCCAAUUACCCUCAUUAUAGUCUUGAUCGAAAGCUAACAUAGCACAAUUCUGAUAUGUAAUGUGAGUGAUGGGAGAGUCACAAAUUAUUGUAUAAAUUUAUUUUAUCUAAAUUAAUUAGUAUAAAUUGAUAGAAAUAUAAAAUAAUAAAAAUAUAAAUCACGUAGACCAAGGUGUAUUUAAUAUAACUAAUAAAAUUUUACUCGAUCAGUUUAUAUAAGAAUUUGUAAUUUUAUUAUUACUCAUGGUACUUGAACAGUGGCUGAUUGGUCAGCUAGUGGUAUAAGUGGCAACGACCAAACUGUUGAGUCUCCACGUGGGUUUCAAAAUGAGUCAAGAGUCAAGAAAUUAGCUAUCAAGUUAUGAAAAAUAUUUGUAAACAUGUCUUUGAGAUGAUACAUUGUCAUAAUCAACAUCAUAUCCUAAUUGACAAAGAAGGGUUGCAAGGGAAACUAAGCAUGUGCCUUCAUUUUCACUUGAAAUAAAGCGCGAGGGAAAGAUCUCAUGUUAUCACAUGAUGCCGUGUGAUCACCUAGAAGCCCUUCCACACAUAUUUCUUCUUAAAUUGUCUUCUUCUAAUUUCUUGGGCCACCGCGAAACCACAAUGUCAAUACAAGGAUGAGCGAGUGUUGUUCAGCUCGCAGCAUUUGGAGCCGGAGCUCAGCUUCCCUUAUUUGAUGGUCGUUUGGUAGGCGUCGCCAAAGGGCAAAGAGGAUCCUCUGGCGUUCGUGGAGUUGGUCCUCAAUGCGAUUGAUUUGUUCUCCAAGUUGAGCAAGUCUUUGUACCAUAGCCAUAAAAUUAUUUACUUUGGACCGAUGCAAUUCUCUUCUAAAAUUUUCAGGGAACACUUUUCAUCUGCACCCAAAUGUUUCAUCAUAAUUUUAUUGUAUACACACUUGCUUCAACAGCUAUCACGGCUCACUCUUUUUGUUAAAUAUUGUUGUUGCCAUUAAUUUUGACAUCUUUGACGUUAAAAGACAACUUUACCCUUAUUUAUAUUUUUUAAUGCAAAAUUGCCAAAAAAACCACAACACCAAUUUCUAAUUCCAAUUGACUUGUGGGGAUAUUAAAAUUUAAUUUUGGCAUCUUUGACAUUAAAGAGAUAAUUUUACCCUUAUUUAUAUUUUUUAAUGCAAAAUUACCAAAAAAACCACAACACGAGUUUCCAAUUCUAAUUCACUUGUGUGGAUAUUAAAAUUUAUUAAAGGUUAGAAAAAAAGUAAAAAUGUUUUGUUCAAAAUAUCCCCUUUGCCAUCAUCCAUAAACGUCCAUUCUUCAUAACAAUCUAGUAAACUUGGAAAAAGCAAGAUCCCAGUCAAUCAACCAGCCAAAAUUCUUCAUAAAGUUUAGCUUUUCUUAAAAAAUUUUAAAUCUUGAGUUAAAAAUUUUAAUUCUUGAGACCCUAAAUUAAUUGAUAAUGAAAGUCACAUGUUUCUAUAACAAAAAUCUUCAAGAAUAACAGUACAAUGAAAAUCUUCAAGUAAAUAAAAAUCUAUAUUCAUAAUAUUUAUGAAUAAAUUGUAAAUAAUAUAGAGUGGUUUAUAAUUUUAUAGUGUAUUCACUAAACAAGAAUCGAAAUUAUUUGGAAACAUAACGAGUUAGAAUCAGAAUAUAUAGAAUCAAAAUAAGAAAUUGGAAUCAGAAUAAUUUAUUUACUUGAACUGCAGGAAUCGUAAUUAGAAUGAGUCAUUUACAUGUUUACUUUGUCUUAAAAUCAAAAUUGGAAUGAGUUAAAUUGUAACAAAUUACUAUAAAAUCCAUAAUUAAUUUUUAUCAUAAUAAUUAAUUUUUAUUUUAAUUAUUGUGAUUAUUAUUAUUAUUAAUAAAUUAAUUAUUAACAAUAAUUAUUGUUAAUUAUUAUUAUUAUUAAAAAGUUAACUAAGAAUUUAUUAUUAAUUAUUGUUAAUAGAUUAAUUAAUUAUAAUACUUUUUAUUCUUGUUAUUAAUAAUAAUAAUAAUAAUAAUCCAUUUACAAUUUAUAAUUAUAUUUAUAAUUAAGUGGAAAUUAAAGUGGUAGGGUCUCAACCAAAAUGUGGCACGAACACAUUUAUCCAACAGCAAGAUUUUUCGAUUGCCAUCCCCACUAAUUUGGUGUAAUGACUAAGAGUUAAUUGAAAAAUAUAUAGUUUAAUUUUACAUUUAAUUUUUUUUCUUUGUUGUAUUAAGAAUUAAUUGAAAAAUUAUUAUAUUCCCUUAAUUUUACCAGAAUCCCGUUGACUUAGACCCUAGUCUCUUGAUUAAAGCGUUUUCAAGUUCAAAGAUUCAGAUAACUCACUCGAUUAUAGGGCGUCUGCACCUUACGCUCGCGUUUGUUGUGAUGCCAGUAGCUGCUGUGACUGUGGCUGUCGUUGUCGAUUGUACUUGAAUUUUGCAGGAGAGCUUAAUAUCUUGUUUAGUAAUUAAGUGUUGUAUCAUUUAUUGUUAAAAAAUUAUAUUAUAAAAUAAAAAUUAAUAAUAAGUAAUAAAUAUGAUUUUUAAAAAUUAAUUUUCAUUAUAUAUUGUCAUUAAAUAAAUAUAAAAUUAAUUUAAUUUAACUGUAAAAUUAUAAUAAUUAAUAUUUAUUGAAUACUUUAGUAUUAUAACUUUUAAAAUUAUAAUGGACUAACUUCAAUCCCAAAAGAACCUGAAAUGAUUGUGGAGAUCGGGAUUUUCAAUUUCCUUUCUUUUUGGAACUAGUUUGGGAUUGUCCAAACACGCUAUGGUAUGCGUUUGACAUGGAGAAGGGGGGACAAAUCAAUUUUGUUUACUGCAAAACCCUAAAAAUAAUUAGUCAACUUGCGUAUACCCCUUUUGGACCCAUUUUGUCAGGAAAAAGAAAUUGUGGACCAUUUGCACUCUAAAUUUAACUUUAGAUACUGGUAUUUUAAUAAAUUUUUAUAUUAUUAAAUUAACCUUAAUAUAAGGAUCCAGCUACGGUACACAUGUUGUAUGGUAUCCCGCAUUUUGUUCAUAUAUGACUUUGCCUUUAAAUGUAACAUAAAACUUGCAUCAAUUGCAUAGAUGUAUUCUCUUUGGUUAUUAAUAUUGACACUCCUAUUGUUUUUCAAAAAAAUAAAAUGGUGAAAGGUUUGACACAUAAUUUUAGAUUAUUUUUAAAUUUUUUAUUUUUAUCAAUUGAUCUACUUUAUUAUUAAAAUUAAUGACAGUAUAAGAGCAAUAACUUGAAAAAACUAAAACAAAAGGAAUUACAUGGUCACCGUCUGGAACUGGAAAUGUUUUGAGUUUACUUAUCCUUUUGGUUCGCACCGCCCACGAAGCUUCAUAUUCCUACGAUAUGUCUUUUUUUUUUAAAAAUAAUAAUUUAUAAUCUGACAGCUGGAACAAAGUUUCGACUUUCGAGUGGGCAAAACGCAAAAACUACCACGACUACUUGAACAACUUCGUUACAUUUAGACAUUUAUCAUUUAAUCAGAGUUUGAUGAGCAGCGUUGAAGGAAAGUUUAUAGAAAUAACCCUUACUUUUUUUCUAUUUUCGAAUAGCAAAUAAAAUUUCCCUUUUUCAGUUAAACAGUUUCAAGUCUAGUAUUUACUGUUUGAAGGAGAAAAUUAUGGUGUAACGGUGGUACCGUGCUACUGUUGUACUCACCCGUUGGAUCUCAAUGAAUCCACUCAUUCAAGUGGAUUCAACGGCUGAAUGCAACAGUGGCACGAUACCACUGUUGCACCGUAGCCGGACCUCUAUUUCAAUUACACAAACAACAUGUAACUGUUUUAUAUAUACCUUUUUCUAGCGGGUUCAAAAAGUUUCAACCUUAUGGAAUGGCACAAUCUUUGUAUAUUAUUAUUUUAAUUAAUAACAAGAUUACUGAUCCUGUGUGCCCGGUAAACACUACUGUGAUUGAGGAAAAAGCGGUAUUGCUAUUGCUGUUUCUUACCAAAGGCCUUGAUAAAUAAACCAUUUCUUCACAUCAAACUAAGGCACAAGAGGUAUAAAGCCUAGGUGUAGGAGAGAAAGCUACAACAUAUAUGACACAAAAUCAAUUUGGAUGGACCUUGCUAAUCACGUCUGUGAAUGAAGAAGAUUCACCUCGAUGCCAUAGGAGAGCAAAUUAUUAGGGGGCAGGAUGGACAUGUCACAUGGUUAAGGGGGUCUCUAAAUCCCGAAGGGUACAAAAACCUAUGCUUUGAAGCUCACCUCACUAUCUAAAAUCAAAUAUGACUUGAAUGCGAAAUUACGUGUGCGGUAAGUUCUUAUUUGGGAAACUGUGUUGUGCGUCCCACAAACUCCAAAUGGGAGCUUGCCGCAUGUUCAAUCGUGCUUAUAGAGUGUGUCCGCAUGCAUCUAAUUGAGAUCUUAUUUACAGUAUAAUACACUUCUAAAAAUUUAGAUAGCAAUAUAAAACUUUACAACUAUAAUAUUCAUUGAUAAUAAAUUUAUUUAUUAUGAUUGUUCUCGUUGAAAACUCCUCAAUGGAAUUUUAUGAGUCGAAAAUAACGUAUGAUAGUUUAACUACCAAUAUAAGAAAAAAUAUAUUUUUCAAUAUACAAAACUAGGUUAUUGCUUAAUUUGCUUUUAAAAUCUUUUAAUAAUAACAAAAAUAUUCAUAUAUUGCAACACAUAGAGCAAACAUGAAUGCAUUAUAAAAUUAUAGAUUUUAAAACUAGACAAAAGAUUAAUCAAAAAAUGAAAAAUUAGAAUUAUGUAGACUUACAACUUAUGGGUCAUUGUUGAAAGACUAAACAAUUGAUUUUGCUCGAAUAGAAAACAAAAAAAAUAUUAAAGACUAGUCCAUUAACCAUUAUACUAACAUUUUUUAUGAUUGUUUUUUAUUUUAAUAUUUGUUCUCGUGUCUUUAAUUGAAUUUCAUGAAAUGUUAAUUGCUAAUUAAAUUAUUUAGAAUUAGACAUUUAAACGAGGGAUAAUAUGAAAUAUUUUAAAAUUACUAGAGUCACUUUUAAAUUUUACAAUGCAGCUGGGGCAUUUUUCAUAAAUAACAAACAAAAUACAUUUUUUUCAUAUAAUCAUCAAAAAAAAUUUAAAAGCCAGCCAGGGCAUGUGCCUCAGCUGGUCCCAUGCUGAUUCCGCCCCUGUACGUAAGACACACGCAUAUUAUUUUACAAGGUACCACCAAUUUUUGUCUUUUGUGAUGUCAAAUUUCAUUUAACUCCUUAUCUUUUUUGAUUUACGGUUUAUUUAUAACAUUAUAUCCUUUGACAGGUAACUUUUUAAAAUGAAUUUUAUUUAUAAUUUAUUUAUAAGUUUAUAUACUUUGGCUGGUGAUCUGCUCAAAUGUAAUUUUAUUUUAUUUAAUAUUAUUUAUCUUUCUAAAAGAAUAAAUAUACAAUAAGCCUGUGACUAGAUAAUAUUAAAUAAUAUUUUGAAUAAAAUAAAAAUAUUAAAAAUUUAUUCUUUUAAAUAAAAUAAAUAAUAUUAAAAAAUAAUAUUUAUUUUUUAGGACUCACAAUUGCUUAUUCUAUUUUAUUUAAUAUUAUUUAAUUUUUAAAAAUAAAUAUAAUAAUAAGCUUGACUAAAUAAUAUUAAAUAAAAUAAUAUAAAUAUUAUUAAAAAUAAUAGUAAUUUUUUUAGACUCAUUACUGAUUAGUUCAUUUUAUUUAACAUUAUUUAGUUUCAUGAAAGAAUAAAUAUAAUAAUAAGCCUUUGACUAUAUAACGUUAAAUAAAAUCAAAUAAAUAAUAUUAAAAAAAUAUUUUUUUUAUAAAAUAAAUAAUAUUAAAUUUUUAUUCUUUUGAAUAAAUAAAUAUAUUUUUUAAGACUCACAACUGAUUAUUUAUUUUAUUUAAUAUUAUUUAGCUUUUUAAAGAAUAAAUAUAAUAAUAAGUCUAUAACUAAAUAACAUUAAAUAAAAAUUAAAUACUAUAAAUAAUAUUAAAUAAAAAUUAAUUAAUAUUAAAAAUUAUAUUUAUUUUUAAUGCUCACUACUGAUUAUUUUAUUUUAUUUAAAUAUUUAGUUUUUUGAAAGAUUAAAUACAACAAUAAGCCUGUAACUAAAUAAUAUUAAAUGAAAUGAGAAUAAAUAAUUUUAAAUAAUAUUUUUUAAUAAAUAAAUGAUAUUAAAAAUUAAUUUUUAAAAUAAAAAAAUUAAUAUUAAAAUAAAUUUAUUUUUUAAGACUCAAUUAUAAUUAAACAACAUAAAAUUUUAAACAAUUUGGACUUAUGUGCUAAAAGUUUUAAUUAUUUAGCUCUUUUGCAUUUUUGAUAAAUAGCAAGGAGCAUAAUGUUAAUAUUUAAAUAAACGAUUCACUACCCUUAAAUCUAUCUUUUCAUUGAAUCCAAUGAUCAAAAAUUAAAACCAAUGACCAAGAAUUGAAACUACAAAAAAAUAAAAUCAUAUGGUAUCUUACAACUGUUGUAAGAUAAUUGAGUCUUUUAAUUACACGUGUUAUUUGGAACUUGUUAAAUUGGUCCCUUGUGGGUCCUCGUGGACUCUAAAUUAGCCGUACACCUUUUAAAUAGAAAUAAGUGCAUUACAAUUUUUUUCUAUUUUACUUUAUUUUUGAAAUUUUUUGGAAAAAGUGAUGACUCAUGAUAAUAGAAGAAGAAGAAUAGUAGGAUACAUGUAAUAUCGGUUUAUACUUUAUAUCACUUUUUACUUCUUUCUUUGAUUUUUUUUAAAUUUUUUAUUAUACUUUUUUGUGUCUUUGGGGUCCAAAUAUAUUGUGUAUAAAUAAAUAACGUGGCUUCUGAGUUUAUGGCAAUUUACCAAGCGUUAAUAAUGCUUGAUGAAAAUGUUGCAAUCAGGUAGGGCGGACACAUAUAGAGAUUAUGAUCUCUUAAUCAGCGGUGUUCGUGAAAUGUAGCCAACUGCUAAUUCGGUCGGAGACGAGGGAUAUCUAGUGCAACCAGAAGUUCAUAAUUGUUUUAAAUCAUUUGAGAUUAUUGCGGAGUGCAACGUGUCGUUUGUUAAGAGAAUUAAAAUGAGUCAAAAGGUUUAAGAAAUAAGCUUUGGCUGCUUGGAAAAACCGCUUUCGAGCCUCCACAAAGUAUUGUAGGGCUUAAAUUCUUUUCAAUUAUGAAUAGUAAUUAAGUGAAGACAGUUUUCUUUUCAAUAAUUACCUAAUUAUAAAUUUAUCAGUAAAAAUUUCAUUUAAUAUGAAUUGUAAUAUAAGAAAAGAAAAAAAAAGUAUUCACUUAUGAUAAUAUUCUUAUUUGUAAACGUGUCCUGAGAAUUGAGAUGAUACAUGAUCGUCAAUGUCAUAUACUAAUUGAAAGAGUAGGUUUGCGAGGGCCUGCCGUGCUAAGCAUGGGUUUUCAUUUCCCUUAACCGCUUGAAAUGAAGCAUGAGGGAAAGAUCUUAUUCCACCUAUGUUUUAUUAUUAAUAAAUAAUUUUUUUUUUAUCUAUUAACCAAUAAUUAUCGGAGCGAGUUUUACUCAAGAGAACUUCAAUAAUAAAAAAUGUUUGAUCUCACUGAAAUGACAAGUUAUUUAAGGUUAUUGAAAAUCUAAACAAAAAUUACUUUUAGGAAAAUGCUAAACGAAGAGAAUGGCGUGAGAACGCAACGUGAUAAUAUUAAAUGUAUAGUAAAUGUCAACUUUUAGCAUUUUCUCUUUCUCACCACGAGUAGCUUUUGCACGACAGAAAAACAAAACAACGUUCAUCACAAAGCUAAUUUUUCUCUCACCCAACGUGAAAAUCACUUUGGCUCAUUUAUUCACCAACGACCACCGAAUAGAUCUAGAGUAGUAGCAAGUGAGGGAGAGGAGUAGUAGAUCUGGAGUACUAGCGAGCGAGAGAGAGGAGGAAGAGGAGGAGGAGUAGCGAGUGAGGGAGAUGAGUAAAUCUCAACAUUAUUUUUUUCUUUCAUACUAGCCUUUUAAGGUUAUAAAAUUCUUUUGUUUUUAUUAACAAGAAUGCUGAAAGCUGCUACUGAAAGAAACGACAUUACUGUAUGUCAUUUCUCUCGGCAUUCUUGGUAAUUAAUUUAUAUUUGUACCACUCUAUUAAUUUACAACUUUGCCAUUCAUAUAAAUAAAUUUAAAAAAAAAAAGUAAAAUCUUAGGUCCAGCCUGAAUGGGCUCACAUUUAGCACUACUCUUACUUUUAUGCUAUCGCAUGAUAUCGUGUAGGGACGGCAAAAUACAGGUUUGGUCUAAGCUUGGAAGGCCAAGCCCAUUUCACGAGAGGCACAACAGGCUAGACUGGUCAAGCCUAAUGUGAGCCCAUUCAGGCUCAAGCUGGACCUAAGAUUUUACUUUUUUUAUUUUUUUAAAUUUAUUUAUAUGAGUGGCAACGUUAUAAAUUAAUAGUGGUACAAAUGUAAAUAAAAUAGUUGAUUUUUUGUAAACUUUGCAUAAUGACAAUUUUGUAAAAUUUGGACAGGCUGUAGCUCAUCUCAGUCCACACAGCCUCACCACUAGGUAUAAACAUGGAGAACAAUUUAUAAAUCCACCAAGCUAAAUUAAAGUCAAACACUUGACAUUAAGAAAUUUCUAAUAAUCUUAGAAAUAAACUAGUCGAUAAUCACUUGAGAUCAUUUCCUCACCCCAUAAUCCAUCAAUUAACUGAGAAAUGACAACUCACCAAUUAGUUUUUCAUCAGAACUCAUAACACAGAACUUACCCAUUCACAUAAUAAAAACAUUGACAUUAAUGAGAGAGUAGCUUAAUCAAAUAAUAAUCCAUUAAUAAAAUGAAAAUUAACAACUUGUACCUUCAUAGAUGAUUCUUGUGCACUUGACUUUCUAAGUAAAGAACGUCACUAUUCUUUUCAAGAAGGCAGCCACCACAAAGCAUAGAAGCUUCUUCAUAUAAUAGUACAACAAUCAAAACCUGAAACAUACGCAUCAGUAUUAAUUUAUUAUAAUUUAGCAGCAGUAAAUAUUUUUUUUCAAAAGUUAUCUGCAGUAAAUAUAAGAAUAACAAAGAAUAAAAUCUUAGAUCAACAACAGAGAACCUAAACUCUACAACUUGCUUGAACUACUAUCAACAUCAUACCACAUAAUCAAAUAGACAAAAUAGUGUAAUAUAUAAUUUGUAUUGACCUCCAUACUAUCACGUAAAAAAUAUUGUAUUAAAAACAAAGGGUAAUUUUUAGGGACCUCCCCUGAGGUUUACCGUAUUGACACAUAGAGAGAAUGUAUCCACGUAAUUACAACCACCUCCCCUCCCGUUAGUAUCCGGUUAGUUUGACUGUUAGUUGACUGUUGAAAUUACUAAAUUACCCUUCCCGCCAAAAUUAUAAGUUAUAAAAUAAGAGAAGAGAACCGAUAAGUAAUAAACUUAACGCUAGAAUCACAAAAGCUAAAAAAAGACCAAAUUACCCAUCUAUGUGAUGUGAUUUCAUUUACAUUAUUUGUUAUUAAAAAAACAGAAAAAAUAAAUUAAAGCUGCCAUUAUUACCGUUGUAAGUAAACGGUAAUAUUUUGAGUAGUAGCAGCAACUAUAAAAGGCCUGGGCAAGUUAGCAAAUGACCAUAGCAGAAUUUCAUCUUCAUCUUCUUCUUACGAUUUUAAGUCAUCAUCCAUUCAACUCUUGAACAGAAGCACUCAUCAUCAUCAUUAAAAGCAUUCAUCAACUCAUCAAAGGAAGCAUUCAAUUCACGACAACAGAAGCAUUCAUCAUCAGCAUCAUCAGAAUCAUUCAUUUAGUUCAUUGACAAAAGCAUUUAUUCAUCAAUUUAAGCAUUCAUCCAACUCACCAACAGAAGCAUUCAACAUAAUCAAGAUCAAACACUAUCUCAACCACAUGGAUUCUGAAAGCUCAAACACAUCCAGCCGAUCAAAUACACAACCAAUUUAUGAGCCAACUUGGAGGAACUUUGUUAAUGGGAGGCUGAUUAAGUUUUCAAAUCGAAUAUGUAGAUGUCGUAUGAGAGCCAAGGUGAUGAUAUCUGAAUCGGAUGAGAAUCCUCACAAGCUUUAUUAUAGAUGCCCGAACAUAACAACAUGCGGAUACUUCAAAUGGUGGGUUCCAGCAAGGGAUGAUUUCAACAAUGGAGCUGUGUUUGAGGGGAAUUUAAGUGCUAUUGUGCAUCAUGAUACCCUAAAUGCUAUUCAAUCAAAUCUGAAAGAAGUGAAGACUAUUAUGAAGAAGCUGCAAAGGUCAGGAUUUGGUGAAGGUGUUGUGAAGAUGAUUAUGUACUUGAACCUAGUUAUGUUUGUGCUGAAUUUAAUUAUGCUUAAGAACUAAUAUGCCUAAGCUAUCCUAUGUUUGCAGAAUGCAGUGAAGUGUAAAAUAUAGUGAUUUUUCUGUGUAAUGUAUUAAUGGAUAAAAAAGAUAAUGCAUGUGACAAUAAUCUAUUAUACAAACUGAUAAUAUUUAGCAUAGUAAGCGAAUAACACAGCACAAGCUCCUGUCCAUAAUUCAGCAAGCACACACAAUAACAAUAAUUUAUAAUUACAAGCUCUUGUCCAUAAUUCAACAAGCACACACAAUAACACAGCACAAGCUCCUGUCCAUAAUUCAGCAAGCACACACAAUAACAAUAAUUCAUAAUUACAAGCUCCUGUCCAUAAUUCAACAAGCACACACAAUAACAAUAAUUCAUAAUUACAAGCUUCUGUCCAUAAUUCAGCAAGCACGCACAAUAACACAACACAAGCUCCUGUCCAUAAUUCAAUCCUUAAAUAGAAUUACAACUAGUAAAUCCCUGAGCAAAAGUAUAAUAACAAUUUCAAGCACAUAACAAGCUUUUGUUAAAACUAACACUAUGAAGCACACACAACAACUCCUAUCACACAGGACAGCCGGUAAAUCCCUGAGCAAAAGUAGAGAUACAAUACAAAUUCAUUCUCAAACUGACAGUAUCAAGCACAAUAAACACAUACAGCAAGUCUCACUUUGUAAUAUCAAGCACAAACAAAGCAAAUUCUAUUGUUUCAAGUGACAGUCGCAAGCACAACAAACACACAAAGUAAGAAACCACGGCAGUAACUAAGUAAUGAAACUACAUAAACUAAAAUCAAUAAAGAACUAUGUAAUAAAACUACAUAAACAUUACUUGUGACUAUAAAUUAUAAAUUCAAAUGCAUUCCAGCAACAAUAAAGUGUCACAUGUCAUUACUGUCGCUACAUUAAUUUUUUCACCAGCUACCACAGCCUCUAUCUCCAUGUAAACAUGACUGCAAGUUAUAAAUAAUAGCACAUGGUAAGCAAAUAACAGCAAAAUCGUAACUAGAAUUGUAUAUUUAUAUAAUAAGAAACAAAUGUAUAUUUAUAUAAAAUUAAUAUAUCAUAAGGGAUGUUAGCAGAUGAACUUUAGUUGACCCCAACCAAAUUAUUAAACUGCAGUUAUCAUUAAUGCAUGCUUGGGCAUUUACAUGCCUUUCGAAAGUUUGUUGCAGAUGGUGAUUAUUCGAUCAUGAGUUGAAACACUUAUAAAUCCAUAACUAAGUUCAUCUACUUGCCAGAAAUCAUUUUGAUUGAUUAGUAACUUAUAACAAGCUUAAUUAACACUAACAGGGGAUGUGGAUGCUCUUUAAUCUAUAUAUAAAUGGGCAACUCAAAGUUAAAAUUUCAUAAAAAAAUCCUCUCAAAUUUGUCGGCUGAAUUAAUUUCAACAAAGUGGUCACUCGUAAAAUUAGAGACGGCCUUAAAUUUACAGUGACAUGUGCAUGCAAAGAUCUUUUAAUCUUUCUUUGAGCUGGGCUUUUAAUCCAUUGAUUGAACAUGGAAUCAUCGUCAUGCUUUGCAGACAACUUUACAAUUUCUUUUUCUUUAUUAUUUUUUUGAGUCUCAGGGUUGGUGGAAAUUGAAACGAAAAACCCAUUUUCAUUUUUAUUAACGCAAAAUCGUCCCACUCAUCUAUUGCAUCUGUUGCAUCUGAUUUAUAUCUUUAAAUUGUAAUAAAUGAGGAUUACCUCUUUUUCGCACCAAUUCCAGUUGCGAUUGAAGGCGUUCGUCGCCGGUACUUAGUUCGUUGCGCACUUGCGCCACCACCAGAGCUCAUCUCGUUACCUCUUUUUUGCACCAAAUCCUUAAUGAAGCUCUCCUUCACAGCUACAUAAAGAUGAAGAUGUUGUUCGGUGUUGUUUACGUGAAAGAGGAGGCUAAGUGUAACAUUCAUUUCGUGAAAAUUUUUAUUUGCUUUUGUCCACUGGUUAUUGCAGAGCACUGGUUAAUGGAGUAAACUCUUACAAUUUUCUCAGGCGUUCAUCCUCACAAAGCUGCACUUUUGAAUUCUUUUGAAUUUUAAAAGGCAAUUUUACAUAUUUACCCUCACAUACUGAUGCCAUACGUAACCGGAUACUAACGGGAGGGGAGGUGGUUGUAAUUAUGUGGAUAUAUUCUCUCUAUAUGUCAAUACGGUAAACCUUAGGGGAGGUCCCUAAAAAUUACCCUAAAAACAAAUUAUAAAUUGUUUAGUGAUCACAAUGGAUCCUGGAAAUGACAACAACUACAUUAUUAUAAUGAGUUUGACAUGUCAUUGUACAUGGAUUCGUUAUGAUGAAUCAUGAAACACCGUUGAGUAGUUAAUUCAGCCACUUUUCACCUAUAAAUUCGAUGGCAUACUUUGAAUACACAACAUGGUUAUAAAUAAAAAUUUAGAGAAUUUUUGUGGGAAAGAAUAAUUUUAUUGACAAAAGAUUAAGUACAAAAUUAUAACAUCUCCAUUUUUAAUAUAGCUGACAUAAGUUAUUUGAGUUAAAAAAAAAAAAAAGAGGGAACUUAGAUACGCCAUAUUAAAUAGGGCAGUAAUAAAAAAAAAUCUAAUUAACAAAAAUUAUUUGAGCAAAUGACAAAUAUUCGCUAAGAAACUCUUUUUCAUUUUUUUCCCAAAUAAUAAUCAAUGUUUUUUUCCACUACGCAUUGAAAGAGCUCGCAUCGACAUCAAUCAUGAACCAGUCGUGGCCUAUAUUGCCUGCAUUAUGAAUACCACCUAUGACCUUUAGAGCCUAACCGUUUAUCUCAGUCUAUUUUUAAUACUCAGUCACAGGUCCAGACCAUUCAAGUUCAGGACAUGACCCUACUAGUCCCAUUAUAUAUCUAUUUAAAUUUCUUUUUUUUAGAAUGUCUAUUUAGAUUUCUUAAAUUUAAAAAGCAAAUCAACAUCUAGCCCUUAAAAAAAAAAAUCUAAAAUCAACAAAGCUAUUAUUUUGAAGAUAUUUUGAAUUCCAAUUCCCAAUUAAAAUCAUGAAUAUAUCAGCUAUAUCAUAGCAUCAGCAUAACUAGUAAGUGGUGACAUCAAAUUUUCAAAUAUUUGGAACUGGAAGCAAAUAUCUAGUUAAUGAUUAAAGUAGCUGACGAAUAAAACCUCUUGUAUUAUCAUAGAGGCUGCCCCAAUAGCUUGCAAUAACUAUGGAUGGUGCAGUAAAGUUUCAGGAUAGAUGAAUAAACUAAAAAGCAAAAGAGAAAUAUCAGUUGCAGCAAGAACUACGUCAUCUCCACCUCGAUUAUUAUUCAAAUAUUAACACCAAAUGGCACUGAACAGCACAAGAGGAAGCAUCAUCCAUAUUUUAAAUGUAUCUGAAUAGCAUAAAUAUGAAAAUCAUUGCAGAAAGUAAAAGAAAAGAAAAAAGUAAAGAGAAAUUUAUCUCACAGCAUUCCUAUUAUUAAAAAUGUGCUCCGAGAUAUAACUUCAUGCACAUUCAGAAGUUCUCAGGCCAAAGAACAUUAUAGCAACUACAAAAACUCAUGAGCCGGCAGGUCUUGUCCCUGUACAAGGUGAAACAACUAAAAUUAUGCUUUUAAGAACUUUGCAAUAACUAAAAUUAUUACUCAAUACAUAUAGAAAACUUGGGCUCUGGAUACCUAUUUUCCCAAAUCUUGGGGUCUGUUCUUUUCUCCUAAUCAGUGAGGUGCAUGUAAAAUAUAUAUACACAGAGAGAUAGAGAGAGAGAGAGAUUAAUUAGUAUACAUUCCAUUGGUAGAGUUUCUAGCUUAGAAUUUAUAUCACAGGAAUUGCAUAUUGAAUUGAAUACAUAUGAGUGUGUAUUUUUAUUGCGGAGUCUAAUGAUAGAAAGCAGGCUUCAUUCAUUUUCAACAACAAGCAUUGCAAAGUUCAAAAUUUAUAUCACGGUUCAAUCAAUAGGGGAAUUCAUUUCCCAUCAAAACAUAGCAUGUGACAAGAAUGAACUCUAUAUAUAUGUAUAUGUGUGUGUGUGUAUAUAUAUAUAUAUAUAUGUAUGUAUAUAUGAACACAGGAAGAAAAUUAUUUCUAUCUGAAAAUCGAGAUCACUCAACCAAACAAUGGUACCUUCCAAUCUACCUAGUGUAUGUAUAUAGGCAUCCACUGAUUGAUACUUUGAAUUUAAUUAAUAAAUCAACUUCAGGUGUCAUGUUUCCACAUUAAAUAGAGAGAAUAACAAUUAACUAGAUAUGACAGAACUGGUUAAAAAUUUGCUCAAAAUAUACUAAAAAGAUCAAAUUUUAUUAUUUUUUACCUGCUUUCAUGUCUCUCCAAUGUCAGAUCAUGUCCUCAAGCAACUCUUUCGGCUUUCUUCGCCCAUUUUUCUUCUUUUUACAGCAUGAAGCUAAUACAAAGCCAAAUGAAAAAGUAGAGUAGUCAUUUCAAAUUCAAUUUAAUUGUCAAUUGAAAAGUUCAAUUGUUACCUUCGUCAACUGUAGAAUCAAUAGUUAAUGAAAUAUACAAUGAGAAGAGUAAAUAUUAAUAACGCACCAAUAUUACAAAUCAAUAGCUAAGGAUCAAGUGAAAUUUCACCUGCAAAUUAGGACAGCCGAGGAAGCAUCCAUAAACAUCGGAAUAAUUAUAUCACUGAAAUUUCAUUAGAGUAAAUUAGGACAGCAGAGAAAAAAAUAAACAAAGCAAUUUGCAAAGGACAAUUUUUCACCUAAUUUUUGUUAAAAAUAUCAAAAACUAAAUUGAAUUUUUUGGAGAGUAAUCAAGUUAUUUAUUUAAAAUACAUUUUUAAAUAUUUUUUUUAGAGUUUUGAACAAGACAAUUUUUUGAUAAUUGAAAUCAAGUACCAAAAUAUUUUUUAUACUGUUUUAAUUUCUCACUAAGAGUUAACUACGUAUUUUUUUUAGCACUGAUAUAUUAAAUAUUAUCAUUAAUAUACUUAUAUUUAUUUAAAAAAAAUCAAAACGCUAUUUCCUUAAUAUCAUUUAUGCAACAAAAUCAUCAAGGGAGCUUCUGUCUUUGUACACUAAAAAAUUAUAUAUAGUUAAUUCACUUGGUCAAAUAUCCAAAUAGUUGAAGUUAGUUUUUAUUGUUUAUUUGGUAAUGAAAUGGGUGCUAAGUGAGGUCUGGUAAAGCCUGAAGGAAUAAAUAGUGAUUUUAGAUUCAUGUGGGUGCUUUGAAUUAAUCAUUUUGUCAAGUUUCGCACCACCGACCCCAUUAAUUUCUAUCCGUUGCAUUUCAGUCAACAAAGCCAACGAAUAAUAGCUGCGGGCUGUCACAAUGCCUGUCAGUUACAGUGUUAUAUAACUUAGCCGCGGCCUUAGUUAGACUCAGUUCGAGCUCGUCUAAAUUUGGAGGGGCUUUUGGAGGGUUUGGGCCUGCUAUCAAUAGCUAAGGCUUGACCUGAGCUUGAAAAAGCCUAUCCCAGACUCUUAAUUUGCUAUCAUAGUUAGAAAGAAAUCUUUUGUAUGUCGAAAGAUUGGGUCCAGUUAUGUUACAACAGUGGUACGGUAUCACUGUUACUUUCAGUCAUUAGAUCUUAUUAAUACAACUGUACAAUUAUAGAUCUAAUGGCUAAAAGCAGCAGUUGUACCGUACCACUGUUGCAACAUAGUUUUGGCCUAAAAGAUUACACAAGUGGUGGAUUUUUGUUUCUUGACUAAUGUCUUUUUUGACCAUUUUCGUAUUUUGGUACAACUCAGAAGCGUGGCGCUUUACUCAGAUACUUAUCAUUGUUUUUUAUUCUUUUAUUUUGUCUAAGUUAUUACUGUUCAAUAUUCUCACUGUAAGGUUGACUUCAAGGGAUGAAAUCGUUUAGAUUAAAAAAAAAUAAAGGAAAUUCAUUCUCUUCAAUUUUUUUUUAUUUGUACUAAUGUUACAAAUAAAAUAUUAAAUAAUUAUUGAAACUAGUCUAUAUUAACUCAUAUUCGAGAAAUGUCUAUCUACUUACAUUUUGUAAGGAAAAAGAUUCUCUCCACUUAAUUGAAGAAACAAUUCACCACGGAUGCAAUAAUUAUUUCUUUAAUUUAAUGUAUUUUUCGAGCGUCUGGCUACCUUAUUCCUUUGUGCUUCAGUGGGAUGCAAUAACUUUUGCUGAUAGCCUGAUAGGCCCUACAAAUCAUAAUUUAGCAUAGAGAAAUGUUGUUACAUGUAGGGAUGAUAAAAAAGCUCGGGCCAGCCUUGUUCAUUUCCGUGGGCUUUUGCUGAAAUUUCCCACGUGAGGGCUUGGACAAGAGUUAAAGGAAAAAAACCUGGACUAGGUCUAACCCCUCUAUUUAAAAAAUAAUAAUAAUUUUAUAAAUUAAAAUAAAAAAUGGAAAAAUGAAAAAAGAAGGCUUAAAUCCCAAAUUCAUUUAUCAAUAACGAUAAACAAAAACUUAAAAUUAUAAUACUAAACUCUUUUUUAAGUGUUAAUUAAUUAAGAGAGUACUUGAAUUAGAAAAUUAAGUAUUAGAAAAUUAAAUCUCUAAAUUUUUAUUUGCUUUAUUUAAUAUUUUAUUUUGAAAUAUUUAUUUUUUUAAAUUCAUUGUUGAUUAUAACAAUUUGAUGAUUAUUAACUCAUUUUAAGUUUACAACAAUUUAAAAAUUUUGAAAAAAAAGUGAAAGCCCAAGCUCGGCCCAGCUCCACAUGGGCUCGGCCCUUACAUUUCCACUCUAAUGGCUUUGGGCUUGGGCUUGAAAAAACAGAACAUGCUCACAUUUUGCUAUCCUUGCCUGCAUGUAAGUUCAAAGUUGCAAAUUGAUGAAGUGGAAAUAUAGAAGAUUGAUAGAUUAGAAACUAAGUUUCUGAAUAAUGAAAUUUUAUUAGAAAAGUCUGAAUGAAUAAAACGAUAGCUUACCCCUUUUCUACUAAUCCCAAACAUCGAGAAUUUAUCAAAAUAGUAAAAUUUAAAAUAUUAUUUUAUAAUAAAAUUCUCCUAAUCUAAAUAAGAAAAACAAAACAAACGACAUCUAAUUUUGAUAUUUAAAAAAAUAAAAUUCUAAAAAUAAUAGAAAAAUAGAAAAACAACUUAAAACUGCAAAAAGACCAAAAAAAGAAGUAGAAUUUUUUACUUAAUUAUGGAGCAAGACAAGGCAAACAUUCUAAGUUUGAUUAGUCUCGUCGUAACUUUUGAAAUGAUAUAUUAUAUGCCUAAAAUGAACAUAUAAAGCCCAAGUUAUAACUCCUAAAAGAUACCUCCUUCAUGAUGAUCCUACGCAACUAUCUUACGUCGAAAAUGAAUGCAAAAGUUACAUUUCAAAUUAAAUUCAAAACAAUCAAUUCAAGCAUUAAUGCUGAGUUUUUUUAACCAAAAUACUCUAAGGAUUUUAUAAAUUGCUUUCUAAUUUUAUUUUGCAAAACACACCAAAUCAAAGUGAUUUUUCUCUUUUCUCUCAAACAAUUUCAACAUUUUGUAAUAGAGCUGAUGACAGGCAUUAGUAAACAAUGUGCAAUAGUAAUGCACAACAAUAUAGAAAAGCAAAUUGGUAAAGUGUAAACUAUGAAAUGAUAAAAUAGAGCCUUUUUUUUUUAAGAUCACAUGUUAAGUUAUUGGCAUAUUUUGUCAGGAUCAUAUACUUUUUUAGAUCUACGUGCUUUUGGUCAAAUUUAAUAUAAUCAAAAGUUUAAAACUGAAGUCCAUAUUCAAUAAUAAUAAACUAAUAAUAAUAGAUAAUGUAAUACUGACUAUUAAUUUAGAUCCUACGAUAUUAAAAUUCUUUUUUAAUACUUAAUAAAAAUAACAACAAUAAUAAGUUUUUUUUAAGGGUUAACUUAAUUGUUAACUUAGACUUACAUUGAGUCAUAAAUCAUAGUUUAUAACAACAUUAAUGCAUAUAUUCAUAAAAAUCAUGAUAUUUAUAAUUUAUUUAUUAAAAUCAUGAUAUCACCUAUUCAUUUAACAAAUUAUAAACAUAAAACAAUUAGAUUUUUUUUAAAUUAAGAAUUAAAUGAAUCUAAAAAACUUAAGCUAAUAAAAUGCAUUAAAGAUUCAAUUUCAAAUUUUUUUGCAAAAUUAUAAUUAUUCGUAAAAUUAUAAAAUUUCAAGUUUACUUUCAUUAAAAAGUUUUUACCUUAAUAUACUUUGACUCGCAUGUUAUUGAUAACGCAUAAGCCAUGUGCUAAUCCUCCAGUGAAACAUUUUUAUUGCGGUCCUUUUCACGUGCUGUGUUUUAGCCUAUCUUUAAUCAUAUCAUGCUUUUAAGGUCCACUUGCCUAAAAUUCUCAACUCAGCCCAGCCCACGUGCAUGCCAUGCCUCGUCGCUUACCCUACCAAAACGUCCUUGUGCCGUGCCACGCUAAACGGAUAUGUGUCGUGCAUGUGUCGUUCCACCUGUCACCUGGCCCAUUAGUCAUCUCUAGAAAACACCAUAUAUUUAUUUAGCGUGUUGCAAGCACUGUGUCGCAAGUUGCUCAAAUUUCCCGCAAACGGAGGCUAAAUUAGCGCGCACGGGUACGCUCAGUAAAAGUCUGCCCAAUAACGGGAUGCACUCAACAGCAAGGUGCGCUGAGCGAUGGGCUGCCUCAUAUAACUAGUGAGUUAUGGUGCACUUAGUAAGUGAAUAGCCCAUAAUCAACAAGCCUAGCCCAAUUUUCAGAUUUCUCUACACCUUGUAAAUGGCUAGAUUUUUAGGCAAGUUGCAUGAACUCUCUAUGAAAUAAGGGUGAGCACCCACUAUUUGCUCACCACCACACCACACACACAACACCUAGCAACUCAAAAACUCUCGUAAAAAUCUCUCUUAUAAUUUCUCUUUUGUGAGCAAUAAAAUAUUCUUUAGCCAUAUUGCUCUCUUCUCUCUAGCAGUAUUGCAAACAUCCUUACUUGGCUAGUUUGAGAAACUCUUUAGGCUUACUUAACAACUUUUGUACUAGAAGUUAUGUAAGUACUGCACGGGGUUGUUGUGCAAAAUAGUCAUCUCGUGACAACCGGCUUAGUUUUGCUUUGCACAUUUGCGCCCACAAUAAUAAAAGCCAAAAUAAGAUAUCAAAAAAUGUUGGGAUUUGACAUCAAGUAGAAGAGGUUUUGCCCACUCCAAAAUCAUCAAAAUGAUUAAUCAUCUUCUAUAUAACCUGAUGAUUUUUUUAACCUUUGAGAAAGCAACCACAGAGGUGGAACAAACUUCUACUCCUGGGACCUGACAUACGGUUAAUGAAGAAGGGUAAUUUCGUAAAAUUCCAAUCAAAAUUAGAAAAAAGGCAAGCCAUAUUCAAAAGUCAAUCUUGAUCAAACAAACGGCAGGAGGGACAUCUGUAAUUACAGCAUUUUCGAGGAAUUGUUUCUAAAAAUAACUAAAACGGGAAAACCCGAAUGGGAAAAUUGGAAAGCGACAAACACGAAAGUUCAAAGUUUGCUUGGUUGGGCUAUGUUCUGCGAGUGGGAGAGACCGAUUGUAGAAAGGGUUUCUUUUUUUCUUUUUUUUUUCAAAUAGACAUAUAGCCACGUGUUGUCUCAUAUAAAAAAUAAUACUUUAUAUAAGUCCUAGGUCAGUUGGGCUGGAAAACAUUUAAAAUCGAACAUAUCAGGCACGUUGUAAGUUCGCAAUUGGAGAAUCAUGUUGUCAGCCCCGCAACCCCCAAAUGGGAACUUUAGAUAGAAAAAUAUAGCAUCGCAAUGAUAAUAUUUAUUAAUAAUAAAUUUACUUAUUACAAUUGUUCUUGUCAAAGACUCUUUGAUGGUAUUUCAUGUGUUGAAAAAAUAUAAAAUAGUUUCAUUAUCAAUACAAUUAAAAACAUAUUUUUUAAUAUAUACAACUAAAUUAUCACUUGAUUUGUUCUUAAAAUGUUUUAAUAAUAGCAAAAAUAUGGAUAUAAUGCAACAUGAAGAACAAAUAUGAAUACACACACAUUAGGGAAUGGCAAUGGGAAGAAUAGGAGAGGGGACCGACAUCUCCAUACCCAUUUUCGAUAUUCUGUAUAUGUCCUCAUCUCCUCCCCAUUCCAUCAGAAUUACUUGAGAAAAUUUUCAUCCUCUCCCCAAAUAAUAACAGGGGAUUCCUGAGAGUCCCCGAUCUCCAAGUAAUUAAUAUAUUUUUAAUUUUUAAUUUUAAUUAAUUAUAUUAAAAUAAUUUUUUUAAUAAAAGUAGAAUUAAGGCGGUAGCUAGCUACCAUAGAAAAUUAGAAAUUAGGUUUUACGAUUUUGCCUUAAUUUUUGUUUUAUUAGAUAAACGUUUAAAAUAUUUAAUGAAUAUUAUAAAUUAAAAAAAAAAUUGGGCCAACAAGAUCCUGUCUGGCUUUUUUUAUGUCCUGAAUAGAUAUUUAAAAUUAUAACUAGUUAAGCAGGCUCAUUAAAGCAUCUGACAAAUUGUUACAUACAACCAGGAUAAUUAGAGUGCUAAUCAAAUAACCCAAAUUAUAGAUUCCCUAAUCAAACAAACAUAACAAAAAAAUUUUGAAAUGCAAUUUUUUUUUUCAGAAAUGCGAAUUGGCACCAAAUAAAAUUGAGCAAAAGCUAAUGCUGUCCUACAAGUUGACAUGGUCCUCCUUUAGCAAGGUUCAAAUAGGGAAGACCAUAGUAAAAAUAAGAGGAAAUAAUUUAACUUUAUCUAUAAAUCCUACAAUUUAGAUGCUAGUAAAAUAACUCCAAUCUGAAGCAUCAAAUGUACAAGAUUCGCCUCAUCAAAAAAAAAAAAAAAAAUGUAUAAGAUUCGUAAGUAAAAACAGGUUACACGAUUAGUUAUUACCUCGAUUACGUUGUAUAUAUUGCAUGGUAUACCUAAUCAGACAAAUAACGUGGACAUGAAGUGAAUAACUUAAUUUGAAUCUUGCUAUUUUAUUUUAUAAUUUUAAACUAAUUAAUUCAUGCACCCACAUUAUGCUUGCAUUAAGUGGAUACAAUACAACAGAAGUAUUCUACAAUCUCUUAUACGAAGAUUCUUAAUUCAUACUCUUAUUGGGGACUCUUUUUAAAAUUGACCUUUUCAUAAUAUUAUUUGUGAAGUAUAUUUUCAAACUAAUUACAGAAUAAUUUUAAAUUAUUGUAUAAACCGAUGAUUGAUAACACCGGGUAGACUAAUGAGACAAAGUCAAAACCAUUAGCCGGUCCAACAGCUCCACUCAUGUUAGCUUCCGUAAAGCACAACUCUAUCGACUCUCGUGACGUCUAGCAUCUUCGUUUAUAAAUACCCCACCUUCAGCCUCUCGACUCUCUCAAGACACUCCGACAGCAAGACUUCAGUUGGGGUGGGAACCGUUGGUGCUGGAAGAGGUGGUAGUCAUGGAAGCAAACAAUAUGGAGAUAUCGGCGGAGGCUGGUGGCCAGCCCCGCCGGAAGCUAUGAAUAUCCUCAACUGGAAUGUUCGGGGUCUGGGGAAUCCCUGAACAUUUCAAGCCUUAAGAAAAAUCCUCCAAUUGCAUGGUGCUCAGCUGGUGUUUUUGUGUGAAACAAAGGUAUCAACCAUGCAAAUGAAUGUGAUUGCAAAUAAGCUGAGUUUUGAGAAUUGCCUUGCGGUGAACUGUAAUGGAAGAGGAGGCGGAAUAGCAAUGCUCUGGAAGUCAGAUAUUGGGGUGCAAAUCAAUUCAUAUAGUUAGCACCACAUUGAUGCCGAAACUCAAAUGCCAAAUGGAAAUCGAAUGCGAGUUACAGGAGUGUACGGACAUCCGGAAACAGGUUAGAAAAAACACACUUGGAUGCUCCUUAGGCGGCUAGCGGUUUUAUCUUCUAGCCCUUGGUUGUGUUGUGGAGACUUUAAUGAAAUUUUACAUCCGGAAGAGAAGAGUGGCGGCAAUGACAGGAACGUGAAUUUAAUUAAUGAUUUCAGAGAAGUUUUGAGAGAUUGUGGGUUAAAGGAUGUCGGGUAUCGGGGGUAUGCUUUUACUUGGAAUAAUGGAAGAUAUGGGAAGGGAUUCGUUGAAGAAAGGUUAGACAGAUUUGUUUGCACAAAAGCUUGGAGUGACAGAUUUGUGGACUGUGAAGCAAGCAACCUGGACUUCGGAUCAUUGUCCCGUGUUGAUGGCUGUUCAAGUGAGAAGGGAGAGCAUGAACCAAAGGGGUAGACAUUCCUCGCGAAUCCAUUAUGAGGAUAUGUGGAGCUCGUAUGAUGUAUGCAAAGAAAUAAUUAAGGAGGAAUGGAGUUGGUUUAGAAACUGGAGCAGUGAAGAUCCAGCCCAAUCCUUUCGACAAGCAACAAAAGUUUCGAUGGGUAGGCUGUUGGGGUGGAGCAAGCUGGAGUUUAAAAAAGCGUGACAGAAAAUUAGAGAAGCUAAAGAAUCAGCUGCAGUAGUUAAAACAAAGAAGGGUGCAAUAUGAAAGUGGUGAGGAAAUUCGGAAGGUGGAGAAGCAAAUCCAAAAUAUUCUCAUGGAUGAAGAAAUCUACUGGAAGCAACGCUUAAGAGCAGAUUGGCUCAAGGAGGGGGACAAAAACACAAAAUUCUUCCACGGCAAAGCGACGGCAAGAAGAAAAAAAAAACAGAAUUUGGGGGAUUGAAGAUAAUUUCAGGAGAUGGAUUGAGAAGCCAAAAGAAGUAGAGCAUGAGUUUUGCAACUAUUUCACCAAUCUUUUUACAUCAACCCAGCCAAGCCAAGAUCAAAUUGCAGCAGCCUUGGAAGGAAUAACUCCGAGAGUUUCAGCUAGCAUGAAUGAGAGUUUGGGGGAGUCGUUUACAGCCGAGGAAGUCUUGGAAGCUUUGAGUCAAAUGUGCCCAACGAAGGCUCCGGGGCCGGAUGGUUUGCCAGCAGUGUUUUACCAAAAGCAUUGGCAUACGGUUAAGGAGGGAGUGCUCACCACUUUUCUGCAUAUCCUCAAUUCACAAGGUACCAUAGGCCCUCUAAACCACACUUACAUUGCUUUGAUACCAAAAAUCGGAAAGCCUAGGAAAGUGACAGACUUUAGGCCUAUUAGUUUGUGCAAUGUUAUCUAUAGAAUUGUAGCUAAAACAGUUGCUAAUAGAUUUAAGCAAAUUUUGCACAAAAUCAUCUCUUCGUCGCAAAGUGCCUUCAUCCCCAAUAGGUUGAUCACUGACAACAUCAUAGUUGGCUACGAAUGUUUGCACAAGAUAAGGCAUUGUAAAGGCAAGCGAAAUGGAUUAAUUGCAUUAAAGCUUGAUGUUAGUAAAUCUUAUGACAGAUUGGAAUGGAAUUUUUUAGAGCAAACUUUGAAAAAACUAGGCUUCUCGCAUCAAUGGAUUAGCUUGAUCAUGAGGUGCAUUAGUUCGGUUUCAUUUUCUGUGUUAAUAAAUGGCUCAGUGAAAGGCUUAAUUAAACCCAAAAGGGGCUUAAGACAAGGUUGCCCCCUCUCUCUGUAUUUGUUUAUUACAUGUGCAGAGGCUUUUUCCUCAUUGCUGCAGCAGGCUGAGCAACAACGACUUAUUCAUGGGCUAUCAUUUGGAAACGAUUUGAAGAUUUCGCACCUUUUAUUUGCUGAUGACAGCCUUGUCUUCAGCAGAGCUUCCAUGGCCGACUGUCAAAAUUUGAAGAUGAUCCUUGAGCGCUACUCCACAGCUUCCGGUCAAAUUUUUAAUUUCGAGAAAUCUUCUCUUUUUCUCAGUGGCAACGUACAUCAAGAUCAAGCUGAGGCAAUUGGGAAUCUCUUUCAGCUCAAUAUUGUGUCGAGACAUGAAAAAUACUUAGGCUUGCCAUCUAUGAUCGGGAGAAAGAGGAGCAGUUUUUUCAGUGACAUCAAGCUGAAGGUUUUCAAUAAGAUCUCAAGCUGGCAGCAUAAAUUUUUUUCUUGCGGAGGGAAAGAAGUCUUAAUCAAAGCGGCUGUUCAAGCCAUCCCAGCCUACGCAAUGAGCGUUUUUAAAAUUCCGAUGGGUGUUUGUGAUGAUAUUAAAAAAAUGGUGGCAAAGUUUUGGUGGGGCUCCAAGAGGGAAGGGAGGAAUAUUCACUGGGCGAAGUGGGAAAAGAUGAGUCAAGCUAAGUGUAAUGGAGGGAUGGGAUUUCGUGAUUUUUCAAGUUUUAACCGAGCCCUUCUAGCAAAGCAAGGCUGGAGGAUUCAGCACUGUCCAGACUCGCUGGUGGCAAGGGUCCUGCAAGCCAAGUAUUUCCAGUCAAAAAAUUUCUUGGAUGCAAAGCUCGGCUCAAACCCUUCAUAUAUUUGGAGAAGCAUUCUGUGGGGAAGGAAAGUAAUUUGCUCGGGCUCUAGGUGGAGAGUUAGCAAUGGUCAGAAAAUUCAUAUUCAUAAGGCUAAUUGGAUCCCACGGCCUUCCACAUUCCAACCAGUGGUUAAGCCAACUUUGCCUUCUGAUGCUAUGGUCUCUGAAUUAAUCAAUGAGGCAAACUGCUGGGAUAAGAAGAGGAUUUAUGAGCAUUUCGACAAAAUGGAUGCUGAUUUAAUUACUAAGAUUCCUCUGCCUCGAAGACCAAGGGAGGAUGAGCUGAUUUGGCAUUAUGAAAAAAAUGGCCAGUUCUCGGUUAAAAGUGGGUACCAAACAGCUCUCCAAAUAAAGUUUCCAGCCAUGCCUUCAAGCUUAGUGGUUUCCAAAAAUGAGUGGAAUAUUAUUUGGUCCCUUGCUUUGCCUCAAAAGAUCAAAAUUUUUGCCUGGAGAGCAGACAAAAACCAACUCCCCUCAGCUGAGAAUCUGUGGAAGAAAAAGAUAAUCCAGGAACCCACUUGCCAAGUGUGUGAAAUGGGAACGAAAAAUGCUUUUCAUGCUCUUGUGGCCUGCAAAUCGGCUGAGAAGGUAUGGAAGCUAAUCCAUUUUGAAGAUGAUAUUCAUGCAGCUCACAAUCAAGAUAUUUUAAGUUUGCUGCAUGCUAUGAAAAGAAUGAGAAGCAGAGCUGACCUGGAGCUGUUGGCAACAAUUUUUUGGGUAAAAUGGAAUGCUAGGAAUCAGUUGCUUUUCAAAGGAAAAAGGGAGAACCCCCAGAUUAUGGUAGCUAAAGUUGAAGCUAUGAUUGCAGCUUAUAAGAGGGUGCAUUCUCCAGCUGAGGCUUGCAGUGAAACAGAGCAGAGUGUACCUUCCCAGACAUGGAAUCCCUCUCAAGAUGGCUUCAUAAAAGUAAACAUUGAUGCAGCUAUCAGCUUCGAAAAGAACAUUGUAGGGCUGGGGGCAGUGAUCAGAGAUGAUUCGGGGCAUGUUACAGCAGUUGCUAUCAAGGUUUCUAAGUUUCAUGGAGAUGUUUCUUAUGCGGAAGCAGAAGCUAUGGAAUGGGGUAUGUUAGUGGCGAGAGAAGCAAAAGUGAAAGCUGUAAUUGUGGAAUCAGAUUCUCAAAGUGUGGUCAGUUUAGUUAACAACAAGCAGGGCAGCAGAUCCGAGAUCUAUUGGGUUGUUUCAGAAAUUCAGAAGGUAGCGGAAAACUUCGAACGUGUUAGUAUUAAGUAUACGCCUAGAUCUUGUAAUGUUAUUGCCCACUCUUUAGCUAAGUUAGCUUUAGAGAAGUGCGAGACUGUUGUGUGGAAGGGUUCAUACCCUUUACAAGUGAUGUAUCUCCUUUCAUCGUUGAUUUAAUUGAAAUCUCUUUUCAAAAAAAAAAAAAAAAAAAAGACACUCCAAAAAAAACUCCAAAGUCCAACAACAACAUUUUACAAUCUCUCUCAAUUUUUCUCGCUUCAGUUUACCAUCCUCGAACACGAACACGAACACGAACAUGAAUUAAGUUAAUUAGUUUAUGGAACACAAACUCAUCAUCAACAUCAUGUCCUAAUUGAAAAAGAAGGAUUGCGAGGGAAACUAAGCAUGUGCCUUCAUUUUCACUUGAAAUAAAGCGCGAUGGAAAGAUCUUAUGUUAUCACAUGAUGCCGUGUGAUCACCUAGAAGCCCUUCCACGCACAUUUCUUCUCAAAUUGUCUUCUUCUAAUUUCUUGGGUCACCGCGAAACCACAAUGUCAAUGCGAGGAUGAGCGAGUGUUGUUCAGCUUGUAGUUUUUGGAGCCGGUCCUGGGCUUUCUUUAUUUUUUUCAUCUUCUGCUGGUAGGCAUCGCCAAAAGGCAAAGAGAAUCCUCUGGUGUUCGUGGAGUUGGUCCUCGAUGCGAUUGAUUUCUUCUCCAAGUUGAGCAAGCCUUUGUGCCAUAGCCAUCAUUAUUUGCUUUCGAUCGAGCACUUUUCAUCUGCAACCAAAUGUUUCAUCAAUAUUUUGAAGUAUACACACUUGUUUCAACAGCUAUCCGGAUCACGUUAAAAGACAAUUUUGCCCUCACUUAAAGUGUAAAAUCACUAAAAAAGCCACAACAGUAGUUUCAAAUUCCAAUUGACUUGGGUGGAUAUUAAAAUUUCUUAAAGGUUAAAAAAAAAGUAAAAAUGUUUUGUUAUGGGAAUUGAAAUAUCCCCUAUAUCUUCAUCCAUAAUCGUCUAUCCAUGAUAACAAUUUAAUAAACUUGAAAAAGCAAGAUAUCCAAUCCCAGUGAAUCAAACAGCCAAUUUUCUUCAUAAAGUUUAGCUUUUGCUUUUAAAAAUUUUAACUCUUGAGACCUUAAAUAAACUCAUAUUCAAAUUUACAUUUUCUAUAAUGAAAAUCUUCAAUUUACCCUUUUAAUAUUUUGAAAAACGGGUCCAGCUACAAUACAAUUGUAGUUUCAUACCUAUUUUUUUGUCUUUUUGUGAUCCAACCAUUGGAUCCAACCUAAGAGUUGCAAAGUCUAUUCCAACAACUUGGAUGUUAUUAUUUGGUUAUCAACAAUAUGGUCCCUUAUGUUUACUAAAAGAAUAAGAAAAAAUUAAAUUUCAAAAUUUUGACACAUUGGUCCGUUAAAAUAUUUUAUUAUCAAAGGUAAUUUAGUAAAUGAACAUAUUUAUAUAUUAAAAACAUGGAUGAAUUAUUUUAACUUGCUAAAAUACUCUCAAAUUCCAUUUACUUAAAAUACGAAUUAGAUUUAAUAAUACUAUUUUGUAUUUAGUGUAACACAAAAUUAGACAAGUUUUUAUAUAAAUUUUGACAAUAUUAAAAUGAAAAAUAAAUAAAUAUUAAACAAAUGCUUGGAUAGUCAUUUAAAUUCAUUAUAGAGCUUAUAAAUAAUAUUUUCAAAAUAAUAAAUUUCUAUAUGUAAAUUUGAAAUUAUGUAAAAUUACUUAGACUUUAUCACACAUAUGAAGCUGAUCAAUUAUUUAUUUGAUCUGAAAAUAAAUUAAUUGUAUAAUAUUUAUUCUAUUACUUAAAUUUAAAAUUUGUUGAGAAGGAGAUAGAGAGAAUAUUUUUUUUAGAAUUUUAAAUUAUUAUAUUUUAAUUGGGUUUAUUACAUAAAAUUAAGUUUUUAUUAUUUGCAUAAAACAAUAGGAAUUGUUGAAGAAAAUGCCAAAUAAAUUUUUUAGAAUUUUGAAAUUAUUAUAUUUUAAUUGGGGCUUAUUGUAUAAAAUUUUUAAAACUUAUAAUUUUUAUUAUUUACAGAAAACUACAGGGACUGCUAAAGAAAAUAUCAAAAUAGUGUUUGGUACAACGGGGUAAGAUAGUUUUGCUCUUGAAAAACAUUAAUUUACUUCUAUUUAUCAGUCAAAAGACUAAAAUAAAUGGAGAUAUGAUGAUGAUAAACUUUUUAACUUUUUAGUGGUAUUUGAUAAAUAUAAAUAAAUUGAAAAUUCUCGCUUUUACUUUUUAUUGGGCAUAAGUUAAAAAUCUUACUCUCUAUUUAUUAUGCUUUAACAAGAGAAAGAAAGAAAACGGAAAACAAAUCUCUUCUAUAGCAGUCUUAAAAAAAUUUUCAGCUGAGACUUAACCCAUAAAUUUUUAAAAACUUUUUGGUGGAUUCAUAUACAUUGAACUAGUCUUCUUUCUAUAUUACAUGGAUUAAAUUUUGAAAUUAGGGCAACCUAUUGUUAAAUCUGCCUUUCAAAUUAUUGACUUAAUAUUGCCCAAAAAAAAAAAAAAAAAUUUUCCUAUUACAGAAUUUUUCAUUGUUGCAGGAAACUGGAGUCGCAGCUGACAGUGCUCAAGGGCAAUCCUUAAAUUAAAUUUCAUUGCAAUCUUUGAAAUUUAAAUUAUUUGAGAAAAAAAAAAUCUUUGCAUAAUAUUGAACAACGCAUUUUCUUGUAUAAUAUCAAUGAAACAAUGCAUGUGAGGGGAAUAAAAAGAAUAAGACAGUAAUUAGCACUAUUUCAAGCAAAGAAAUCUGGGCACUAAUAUAUUUUCUCUGUUACUUUGCAAAAUUACUGCAUGUACAUGAGAUGAUUGCUUGCUACUGUAGUAUUGUGUAAGGUGAAACAUUUGAAGAAGAAUCCUUCUAAACUGGUAGUGUUGGUCGUUGUUGUCCUGCCGAGGAAGUGUCAUUAGAUUGAAACCUACUGCAAAUAUUGAUACAAAAUGGCUUCAAGGUUUCGUUGUAGAGCUGACGACAAGCUUCUGUAAGCAGCGCCCCAUAUUGAUGCACAACAAUGAUAAUGGACGAGCAAAGCCAUGCAGUGUACAAUAUGAUAUGACCAAUAUCAGAGCGUGGAACAAAUGUGGAGGCUAGCGAGACUGCAGAAACAGAUCCGGAGACUCGUGCUACAAGGGCCCAAGAUUGGGAAGAAUUCUCUUGAUGAGCUAAAUGUGCAUAACAAUAAAUGGCUGUGGUUAUGAGAAAAGACCAUAUAUUUGUUGUGUGUGUUUCAAGCAAGCGCUCAGUUGUGCCUUGCGUAUUUGCUCCCACGAUGCCGAUGAGAGCUGGAAUGAGAUAUCCAAACACGUUAUGGUAUGCGUUUGACAUCGCAGAUAAAUAAAAUUUGUUCCUGCAGAACCAUUAAAAUACUAUAUUAAGGAAAGUAUUAGAUCCAUUCCUUUAGAAAAACAGGAAUUUAAGAGAUCAUUAUGUAUUUAGUCUCAUUUAAUAUUAGUUUAAUUUUUUCAAGUCAUAGUUAUUGUGAAAAAAAAAUUAUUAAAUACUUUUAUUGAUUGGUAAGGAUUUAAAAAGGAAAUUUGGGAUUUUUUUUUUGUUUUCUUGUGAACAUUGACGGUAUAUAUGUAGGGUAAAGUUUUAUUUUUAAAUACACGUUGUGGCUCAGGUCAGAGAGAGAAGGGAGACGGUCAAGAUUGCUGGGUUGACUUUCUUUUCCCGUCAGCCAUUUUGUAAUAGAUUGAUCAGAGCAAUCAUUACCUGCAAAACUUAACACAGCACCAAAUUAACAACCAACAUUUCAAUUGAAACAAAUCUACUUGAAAAUAAAAGAAAAAGCAACUCCAAAUCAAAAUCGAAAUGAAACCUUAUCAGAGAGACAGCCGCAAGUAUGAAGAGACAAGCACGAUCCUGAAGGACUAUUACUCCAAAUCAAAAUCGAAUUAUAAGAGAGAAAGCCGCAAGUACGAAGAGAGAAGCGCGAUCCUAAAAGAUCUGAAGUCGUGUUGUAUAUAUGUCUUGUAUAGAUUGACAGAGCAAUCAAAG